rnacentral:tRNA from 1 species
CCCUGGUUAGAUCAGAUGGUAGAGCGCUCCACUCGAAAUGGACGAGUCUCUGCUUCGAUACCAGGACCAGGAU